GCCUGCCGAAUCCUCUCCGCCAUCUCAGUGUCCUCCAAUUCCAUGACUGGAGUCCACCACAGGGCAGUGCGACUUGGACUGCUGGCCCUUUCUCCCGGCUCCUGGCUCAGUAACCUGGGAGGGAGAGAAUCUGAUCCCUCCAGGUCCCUGGGUGAGGCCAGCGGAUGUUAGGAUGUCGCACCUGGCAGCCCAGCCCCUGGCUCUUCAGCCACCAAUCAAGGCACUGAGAAGAAGUUCGCGGCAGGUGGCAUCAAGGUCGCCAAUCAGCUGACCAUAAAAUAGGGAGCUGGGCCUGACGCUCGGGCCCAGCACAGCCACGUGAACCCUGAGAAGCGGGAGAGGCGGGGGAAGAAGAAAUUCGCUCUGCCCUCAGUAGCUCUGCAGGCCGAGGGCAGCACUUGGCCUCUGGGCUCGGAGAAUGGUCCGCACCAUCUCCCAGACACGGGGCUCUUGGUCGGACGGGAGCUGAAUUCUGCAAACCUGGAUGAGCAGGGACUCAGAGGGGUCCACUGAGUUUCCAGAAAGACAGCAGCCCGGCUGGGAACCUGACUUCGGCCUUGUGACCUCUGACCUAUAGAGAGUAUAAGGGGCAGGCACUACCAGUGUUUUGUGUUUGCAAACCAAAACUCGGAGGAGGCUCAUCCAGAAGCAGGAAGUUGGCAAAAUAUAGAGCUUCCUCUGUCUGCAGGUCUUGGCCGGCUCUGCCAGCAUCCUGACCUUCCGCCGAAAGGAGGUCAGCACCUCGAUGGCGCCACUGCGCAUCUUCUCCUCCUGAGCCUCCGCACUCCCGAACUCGUCCACGUCGGAGAUUUUGUACAGGGGCAGCACGUGCAGCUGCUCAUCCUCGGGCACUACUCCGAAUUCUCGAUUGUCUUCCCUCGUGAGUGUGCACACCUGGUGGGCAAGGGAGACUUUAUGGCUCAGGGGCAGGUCCCUGAGCAGUGUGGACGUGCACUUCCUGUCUCAGCCCGCAGGCUUGUGCUGGGGCAGCGGCCGCCAUGCUGCUGUGCAACCCAAUAACUUACAAAUGCAGAUGGCGUCAAAAUGGUGCUGGGAGAGAUUCACAGUGCUGCCCUUUCUGUUGCUGUCUGAGUCUAUGCAGCCUGAAGUCUGACUUCAUAGACUUCCGCCCCCAGAGGAAGCCACGCUCCUACUAUAAAAAUGAAGGAGGCCAGCUCUGCUUUUCCUGCUUCAGAAAUGGGAGGGACAGAUUGGGGCUUCUUCUACAAAUGACCUUCCCAGGCCGUGGUGUCACCAUUGCCUGGUCUAGUUUUGUGCACAGAGAAGUAUCACCUCUUUCUUCACACCUGACUCCCAAAGCUCUGUUUAAGGAAUUCAUUGUGUUCAAGAUGCCUCGAAAGCCACCAGCGUGAAGAUGUGAAGAAUGAAAAACUGGAGACUGGGUUGAUACCGGUUAUACGCACCUAAUACUUUCUACUUCCCUCUGUUCUCCAUUAAACCUAACUCAGCGUUUCUCUUUGGUCUCAGGGCUUUUCUGAAAUUACCACCACAUACAACAAAACCCCGAAGCUGCCUUUUUUGCUUUGAUAAAUUAAUGACUUUUUUGGUAGUCACAGCAUCCUGGUUUUGAUGAAAGCUUGUUUAAUGGCAGUGUUUAGUAUUUAGGGUUUUUAAGGACAGGGUGGUGUAGAAUCACUGGAAGCCACCAGGGAAAGGGAGGUGACCCUUUGCCGGUGACUGGUGACUGUGAUAAGAACUGGGACCUGAGGCAGUGGGGACACUGUCACUUUUCCACAUUCCUGUUUCUAGGCACCUGGUUACUUUUUCCUCACAUACAGGUGAAUCCUUAUCCUACUCCUAUCCACUGCUGCCUUCCGUCCCACACAAUGAGGCUGUGGUUGGCCUCAGGCAAUUUCCUCAGUUCUGAACUCUGUCCUCCUCUUCCUGCUAGUGCAGGUCCCCUUCCCGGAAUCCAGGCCAGCUCCUAAUAUGAGCAGCUCUCGGGGUAGUCGGCGAUGCUUCCCGAAGUCAGGGUGGGCUCUCCGGGGUCUUCAAACAGGCCUGUGGCCAAUCUGCCUUGAGCCUCUGCUAGCAAUCAGAGUGGUUUCUGCAUUUUCAAGGGGCUAAAUUAAAUACCUAAUCUUUCCGUUUACAGUUUUCCAAGUUCUGAUGUAGGCCAUCACACUAACACUGUCUCUGCUUCUCAGCAAAACUUUACUCCUCAAAGCGCCUGGCUGUCAUUUACCACUCACCUGAGUUCACUGCCACCCUUUACUGCCUGGGAUUGAUUAGUCACCUUCAGUCCCCCCACACCUUCCUCAGCUCUGUCUACACCUGGGUUGGUGAUGCCUUGGGGAGAGUCAUGUAUCGAUGGAUUUCUCAGCAGGACUUUCUUUUGUUCUUUUUGAGACAAGGUCUCACUGUGUGGCCUGGGCUGGUCUGGAACUCAUAAGCCCCCCCCAAUGACCUUCCUGUCUCAGCCUCCUGAGUAGCUGGGACUAUCAACAUGUGGCACCAUGCCCAGCUCUGAGAUUUUUCCUCCUGUCUGCACCAUGGACAGCCUUGGGCAGUGGGGAGUAGGCACCUCUCUCUGACUUUAUCGAGUUCUUCUCCUUGAAGCUGCAACCUAAGCCCCCUUCCUCCGCACCCCGUGUGACCUUGAGUGGAGUGGGUCUGCUGCACCAUGGCCGGGCACCCCACACACAGUGACAGUGGCAGUGUGUCCAUCUGCGUCUGUUCCCGCAGCAAUGCACGCUGGCUUGGAAUGCUUUUCAGUUUGACUGCAGGUAACUCAUCGUGCAGACAGAGCACUGAAGGGGGAGCCAUUCCCGGUGGCUUAGACCCUGGCUUAGAUUCGCAACGAGAUGCCCCAGCCCUCCUGUACUUGUUGGUAUAGUUCCCAGCACUGUGAAGCCAGUUAGGAGGAGUGGGCCUUGCCCAGAAAGAGCUCCAGGUGACGGCAGCUCACCCCAGACUCACCAGUGUGCUGCCGUUGUGCAUGUUGUGCAGGUCCCGGUGGGCAUGGGCGCAGAAGUCCAAGCAGGCGGUGACCCCCGAGAAUGGGCGUCCCUCCUUCAGCCCCAGCCGGCAGUCGGGGGCUCUGUGUUCCAGCUCCACCUGAGAGACGGGGGUGGGUGUGAGGUGGGGAUGGGCCUCCCAGCUGACAGGAGCCCUCCGCAGUGCUUGGGCUGUGUCCAACUUUUAGGAAAAUUCUGGGCCUGACAUCCAGGAACACAAUGACCCAAAACAGCAGAUUCCUGAACCCAGGGAAGUCUGCAUUUCGUUACUGGGGUGUAACUGACAGCCUUCAGGGGGUUCUGUAUCCUGGGUCUACCCCGGGCUCACACAGCCGUCAAGUGCUCUGCCAACUGGCUGCAUUCGCAGCCCCCCGAUUAUUGUUCUUAAGCAGCAGGUGUGCUCUAGGUGAGCACUUUUCUCAUGCAUCCACGUCCAUGUCCACAGGCCCACUGCUGCACACAAAUCUAAUUUCCACUGGGCACCUGAGUUUCCCUCAUGCACCUUUGGAACUCAUGUCUCCCGCUCUGUCUCCACACAGCAGCAGAUUUGCUUUCUGCUGCCACAGAUUGCUUUGCACUUUAAACGGGUCCACUAGAACUGAAUUUUUAUAUAUCUGUGAAGUGCUAAGGUUGCUUCUUGGG
rnacentral:lncRNA from 1 species